rnacentral:rRNA from 1 species
GACGUACCGUGCGAACGUUAUUCGGAAUCAUUGGGCUUAAAGGGCGCGUAGGCGGCGGCGUAAGUUGGAAGUGAAAUCCCAUCGGCUCAACCGUGGAAUUGCUCCCAGUACUGCGUUGCUCGAGGGGGAUAGGGGUCUGCGGAACUACCGGUGGAGCGGUGAAAUGUGUUGAUAUCGGUGGGAACGCCAGUGGCGAAAGCGGCAGACUGGACCCUUCCUGACGCUGAGGCACGAAGGCCAGGGGAGCAAACGGG